AUUGAACGCUGGCGGCAGGCCUAACACAUGCAAGUCGAACGACUGGCGGACGGGUGAGUAAUGUCUGGGAAACUGCCCGAUGGAGGGGGAUAACUACAGGAAACGGUAGCUAAUACCGCAUACCAACGGAUGUGCCCAGAUGGGAUUAGCUUGUAGGUGAGGUAACGGCUCACCUAGGCGACGAUCCCUAGCUGGUCUGAGUGGCUGACCAGCCCCACUGGAAUGGAGACACGGUCCAGACUCUUACGGGAGGCAGCAGUGGGGAAUAUUGCACAAUGGGCGUAAGCCUGAUGCAGCCGUGCCGCGUGUAUGAAGAAGGCCUUCGGGUUGUAAAGUACUUUCAGCGGGGAGGCGUGACCCGCAGAAGAAGCACCGGCUAACUCCGUGCCAGCCGCCGCGGUAAUAC
rnacentral:rRNA from 1 species